rnacentral:piRNA from 1 species
UACCUCACCGAUGACGCCCCGGCCA